rnacentral:rRNA from 1 species
GGGCGUAAGAGCUUGUAGGCGGCUUGUCGCGUCUGCUGUGAAAGCCCGGGGCUUAACCCCGGGUCUGCAGUGGGUACGGGCAGGCUAGAGUGUGGUAGGGGAGACUGGAAUUCCUGGUGUAGCGGUGGAAUGCGCAGAUAUCAGGAGGAACACCGAUGGCGAAGGCAGGUCUCUGGGCCAUUACUGACGCUGAGAAGCGAAAGCGUGGGGAGCGAACAGGAUUAGAUACCCUGGUAGUCCACGCCGUAAACGUUGGGCGCUAGGUGUGGGUCCCAUUCCACGGGGUCCGUGCCGCAGCUAACGCAUUAAGCGCCCCGCCUGGGGAGUACGGCCGCAAGGCUAAAACUCAAAGGAAUUGACGGGGGCCCGCACAAGCGGCGGAGCAUGCGGAUUAAUUCGAUGCAACGCGAAGAACCUUACCAAGGCUUGACAUGUACCGGAAACCCUCGGAGACGGGGGCCCCGCAAGGCUGGUACACAGGUGGUGCAUGGUUGUCGUCAGCUCGUGUCGUGAGAUGUUGGGUUAAGUCCCGCAACGAGCGCAACCCUCGUUCUAUGUUGCCAGCGGUUCGGCCGGGGACUCAUAGGAGACUGCCGGGGUCAACUCGGAGGAAGGU